UAGCCCGAAUUAUCCCAAAUUCCUGAAGGGCCCAAAAGCACCAACAAGGGUGAAGGGAAAAAUGAAAGAAGGGUAGUCAGAUUUAGCAAAUAAAAAUAUAGGACACCCGGGUAAAUCUGAAUUUUAGAUAACAUUAUUUUUUAGUAUAAGUAUGUCUCAUGCAGUAUUUGGGGCAUACUUAUACCAAAAAGUUAUGUUUAUCUGAAAUUCAAAAUUAACUGGGACCCUGUAUUUAAUCUGGCAACCCUAGGUGAAAGGGAAAAUGUUAAAAGGUUCUGGACGAGGCCUGAACCAUGACUGCUGGUGCAAGUUGGUGCAUAAGCAGAAUUCAUAAUUCGGUUGUUUAACAGAAAAGAACACAGUCCGACUGGUAAACAGGACAAGCCCUGGGCCUGCUGAGAUAAGCUGGGGAAGAGAAGGGCAGGAACCAGGAGCUUGCCAAGAGACUUCCCUUCAAGCUCUGACAUUUGUCCUGACAAGAUAAACAAGAGUAGGCUGCGUUUGCCCUCUGGAGAGAGUCGCUAGAUGUCAGCUCCAUUCCACACACAUCAAGUAUUCUGAGAGCUGCAUCCACCUCACAGGAUGAGGGCCCCCACUCCAUGGUUUAGACUCAAAUCACCUGUGGUUUCCAAACGACAGCUGACAUUGUUUAACAGAGAGAUGUUAGAAGAAUGUUUAAGAAGCUUCACAUGAUUUUCUUAUUAAAAAAAUUUUUUGGAAAAGAACAAAUCAACAACCUAAUUAACAAUUACAUAAAAACAAAAGUUGGGUUCAAAUACUGUUUCAGCGUUCUUAAUAAUCUUCCCUUCUUCCAAGCAUUUUCCUCUCUGGAGAAGAAUGUUGGAUCCUUCUGCAAUGAGAGACCCUCUUUGGCUUGCAGCUGAAACCCUGGGGUAUUCUUGACCUUCUAGAAUUUGGAGAGAGGACAGAGGUUCUUCUUGGGCCUGGCCUAACAUUCAUUUCAAAGGACCUUCAGGGUCCUACGUAUAAAGGACAUGUGAUCAGCGCACUGCUGCUCUCCAGGAACAGCGAGCUAACAACAGUGCUACCAGCUACUUCUACAGGGAGGGACCGUGAAGACCCACGGGGAUUUCAACAAGUAUUGAUGACCAGCGACCUCAAACACCUGUGACCCCAUUGGGAACUUGCCUGGAACCCCUGGAGGAUGCACUCUACCAAAAAGGAGUAAACUACCAAAGAAGAUGACAUGAAACAGAGAAAACUGGAGACUUGACACAGAGGGAAGCAAUUGAAACCCCUAGGAGGAUGGUAAAGGAAAAUGACAAGGUGGUAAUUGCGUUCUAGGAGUAGAAAGCAACCCUUCCAGAUUGGAACAGUGUGACUCAGAGCCAGGCAUGUUGACAGUUGUCAUCACCAUGCCCUGUGCCUUAUAUUAUCUUAAAUAAAUAUGAAAAUAUUUAACAAACAAACUUAAAAGCUUUGGAAGAGUCUGAGUGUCUGGCCAAACCCUUUGGGCUAAAGCAGACAUUCUUAAGGAUGCAGCUUACUCGUAUGCUGGCGAGGCUAAGGAAUUCACUCCACUUUAUAGUGUUUGCUUCCCAACUGGUGGCAAACGGUGGUCAUGGCUGAGCUCUGGGGCAGAGUGGGGAAGGACUGGAACAGAGAGGAAGGGAAGGGACCCAAUUCUCUUCCAUUCUUUACUGCCUAUAAGAGCCCCCAUUGGGAUUCUAGCUCAAAGACAAGCUGUCCCUUCAGAGAAUCAUGUAUAAACUUAAUCUUAACCUGUGAGGGAAGUGGUGUUUGAGCUUUUCUCCUGGGCCUGGUUCUCCUCCAGAUGAUAUUAGGCUAUUGAACUUCAGACAAACCAUAUCCCCAUUUCCUUUUCCUAGCAUAUAGUGUCCCAGAGGGGUGAGACAGGAGGAUCCAGCCUGGGCCUCUUGGACUCCCAAUUAGCUGGGCAGGUCUGGUGGGAUUUGUACUCCUAAACAUGUCCGCUCUCCAGACCUAGAAAUGUGGGUCUAGGCAGGGUAUGAGAAAAUUGAGCAAGGACACUCGCUUUAUUUUCUGUCCCAAACCAAGGAGGGAAGGGCUC